GUGGCGAACGGGUGAGUAACACGUGAGCAAUCUGCCCCUGACUCUGGGAUAACAGUUGGAAACAGCUGCUAAUACCGGAUACGAGACGUGACCGCAUGGUCGACGUUUGGAAAGAAUUUCGGUCAGGGAUGAGCUCGCGGCCUAUCAGCUUGUUGGUGAGGUAAUGGCUCACCAAGGCGUCGACGGGUAGCCGGCCUGAGAGGGUGACCGGCCACACUGGGACUGAGACACGGCCCAGACUCCUACGGGAGGCAGCAGUGGGGAAUAUUGCACAAUGGGCGAAAGCCUGAUGCAGCAACGCCGCGUGAGGGACGACGGCCUUCGGGUUGUAAACCUCUUUUAGCAGGGAAGAAGCGAAAGUGACGGUACCUGCAGAAAAAGCGCCGGCUAACUACGUGCCAGCAGCCGCGGUAAUACGUAGGGCGCAAGCGUUAUCCGGAAUUAUUGGGCGUAAAGAGCUCGUAGGCGGUUUGUCGCGUCUGCUGUGAAAACUGGAGGCUCAACCUCCAGCCUGCAGUGGGUACGGGCAGACUAGAGUGCGGUAGGGGAGAUUGGAAUUCCUGGUGUAGCGGUGGAAUGCGCAGAUAUCAGGAGGAACACCGAUGGCGAAGGCAGAUCUCUGGGCCGUAACUGACGCUGAGGAGCGAAAGGGUGGGGAGCAAACAGGCUUAGAUACCCUGGUAGUCCACCCCGUAAACGUUGGGAACUAGUUGUGGGGUCCAUUCCACGGAUUCCGUGACGCAGCUAACGCAUUAAGUUCCCCGCCUGGGGAGUACGGCCGCAAGGCUAAAACUCAAAGGAAUUGACGGGGACCCGCACAAGCGGCGGAGCAUGCGGAUUAAUUCGAUGCAACGCGAAGAACCUUACCAAGGCUUGACAUAU
rnacentral:rRNA from 1 species